UCUGUAGCUCAGCAGGAUAGAGCAACGGCCUUCUAAGCCGUAGGUCCCGGGUUCGAAUCCC
rnacentral:tRNA from 1 species